rnacentral:rRNA from 1 species
UACGUAGGGUGCAGGCGUUAAUCGGAAUUACUGGGCGUAAAGCGUGCGCAGGCGGUCUGCUAAGACAGGUGUGAAAUCCCCGGGCUUAACCUGGGAACUGCGCUUGUUACUGGCAGGCUGGAGUGUGGCAGAGGGGGGUGGAAUUCCACGUGUAGCAGUGAAAUGCGUAGAGAUGUGGAGGAACACCGAUGGCGAAGGCAGCCCCCUGGGCUAACACUGACGCUCAUGCACGAAAGCGUGGGAGCAAACAGG